rnacentral:lncRNA from 1 species
AAGGCUGCAAACGAAGCCAGAAAGAUGGUGGCCAGCACACCUCUGGCAACUAUCACCACGGUCUCCAUGCUUCCGGGGAGCUCCUGACUCAGUCCCGUUCACAUCCUCCUCAUGGGCUAAGGCUGCUGGAAGUGGCAAACUGGGGGAAGAGGAUGGCAGGAGCUAGGUUCCUCCACGACACCUCCAGAGACCUGAGGGCCUCAAGCUGCAGCUCCGGGGCACAUCCCGCUGCGCUCCCACGACGGCCCCGCCGAUGGCAAAGUCAGCGGCAUCACCUAUGCAGGCAAUCAAAGGAUGUUAAUGGAUAAAUGUUUCAGGCAGAAUAAUGGCCCUCAAAGAUGUUGACACCAGAAUCUUCAGAACCUGUGCAUAUGUUACCUAACAUGACAAAAGGGACUUUGCUGAUGUGAUUAAGGUCAAGAACUUUGAGAAGGGAAGAUUAUCCUGGAUUAUACAGGUCAACGUUUAUUUCUUUCUGAACUUUCCUGGAGGAUCAUCUGCCAUACUCCAGCAGAAAGAUGGAUUUGAAAAAAUAACGUUUCCACGGCAACAGUGGCAGCAAUUUAAAGGAAGACGUUGGAGAAUUCACAUGCUAUUUUAGCUGGCUCUGUGAUUGCAAUCACACAAAUCAUUACAUUCCAGCGAGAUCCCAUCAACAGAAGGUUUUUCCGUUUCAGUCUGUCAAGGUAAA